rnacentral:siRNA from 1 species
GAUCACUGCCGAUUUAGCGCCUA